rnacentral:lncRNA from 1 species
GUCAUAAUCAUAAAUCUAAAUUUCUCUUUGAGCUGGUUUUUCACUUUUUCUUCCCCGUGAGCUCUUUCUGCCUCAAAUCUACGUUCAAUUACUCCGCCUCGUCAACCGCCGUUCUAACUUGCGCCGCAGCAGGUUUGUCUCUUUCUCCGCGUGCCCUUGUUGUAUCGCAAAAUCUUCAAUCGGUUUACAUCUGAGAAUCGUCUGAUUUCGAUCUGGAAUUACAGAUUUUAUCCGAUGGAAAUGUCGUGUUUUUUUUUUUUUACUGAAUUUUUUCUUCUUCUGUUUUUUUUUUGUUAUUUGUACGGUCUGAUUUGCGUUGUCCUUUACGUUCGGUGAUGGUUAAUUGCUCCUAGAAGCAGAGUUAGGGUUUCAGAUUUAUGAUGGAGUUUUUGCUGAUUUAUGGCGUUUUUAUCGAAUAGGCCUCUACGGAAACAGUUAGGGUUUUAGAUUUGAUUAGUCUUGGGUGUUGGCUUGCUGAUUUCAUAUACUUUAUCGUGCCUUCUAUUUGUCACCUAGGGUUCUGCUUAAAUGCGUCACGUUUACAGCUGAUAGAAAAUAUAAAUGAGGUACUGAUUGAUCAGAAGCUUGUGAUAAAGCUUUGCCUAGAUCUGGAAUGGGGUGUAUUCUAACAUAUAUCCUAUCAUGACAAACUAACAAUGAAUACACACCUGAAAUUUAACUUGAAGAAACCUGUAACAGAUUGACAGAUUGACAAUUAAUUCCAAUCACAAUGCAUCAGCAUUUAAUAUGAAGAUAAGUUAGUAUUCAUUUAUUUGAUUUGUCACAAAACCCAUUGUUGUUUCAUGUUAACCUGUGCUGCUCUGGCCUUAAGUCUUGCAAUGUCCACGUGUUUUUACGUAGAGUUCAGGAACUCAAAUUAUUGCUUAGUGUCCAUCAUCGAUGUCAACAUUCGCUCCUGAUGUUACUAGAUUUCUUUUAAAAUAUAACCAGAAUAACAUGAUCACUGUGAUAAACUUUUCUCCCUGCCCCUUCUUUUAAAUUGUGGGGGUGGAGAUUCAAGGCUUCUGUGGUUUAGGUAAGAUGGAGAAAAAUGGAAGAAAAGAAGAAAGAAUUGUCUAUUGUAUUUGAGAGAUGGAUGCACGAGGAGUUUGGUGUCUUAUUGUAUUCAUCCUGUAAAAAAUGAACGGGUGUUGGGAUCUUCUGUACCAUUCCUUCAUUUUGGUUUUUCCUGCCUUCUUUUAUCUUCUAUUCUUACCCUUGAUUACUCCCAGAUAUAGGGUGCUUGGGAAGUAAUGUAAUAGAAAGGAAUAUGCACUUCAUGUAUUUAAAAUUGUUGGCUGAUAUGUCUUCAAGUGAGGAUGCUUUGAGCUUUUCUCUUGCUCUGUCAUGUUAGUUAGAGAUGCUCCCGGUAUAGCAGAUGACACAGCACAUUCAUAUUGAGAAUGUAACCGGUGCUGGCUGUAAUUGAUGUAUGGUGGCAUUGCGUGUUGAGAAUUGUACUUGUAGUGUGGAAUCUGGUGUUUGAAUCAUGAAGGAAUGAGUAAAGAAUAUAUGGGGGUCAUUGACUUGGUCUUGGGUGUGUGGUUGUGGUGGACAGGGAGGAGGCAGCAGCUGUGGUGGUGGUGAUACUUUGCGUGUAGGUGUUGGUUUGUUGGCUCAAUAGUUUUGAAAAUGAGCUUAGACAACAGGAGCCGAAGCAGAAGCAGGAGCAGAAGCAGGAGUCCGAUGGAUCGUAAGAUCCGAACUCAACGCUAUUUAUUUGAUACAUCAUUUAAUUUAUUUGUUUUUGAUAAAUUAACAUGAUUAAAUAAAGAAAUUUAAAGGCCACGCCACAGGGGCUCGAACCCAAGACCUUCGAUUUUAGACAUUAACCCCUAAUCGCUUAACCGAUACACACGCUACAUCGUUUAAUUUUGAUGCAAAACUAUGUUCGACGUGCAUCGCACGGGC